rnacentral:rRNA from 1 species
CCAUCCCGUCCGAUCUGGCAAGUUAAGCAACGGUGCGCUUGAUUAGUACUUGGAUCGGAGACGUCCUUGGAAUCUCAAGUGGCGUACGCA